CUUCUCUUAGCCCUCUAACUUCUUCAAGACCUUGCAUAGAAGUGCACAAAUGAGCAUUUAAAACAGAAUCUAGAAUCCAACUAGAAGAAAAAAAAUCAUUAGAUUAGUUUCAAUUAUGAGCAAGUCAGACAUACCUUCAGAAGGCCCGUCUUUCUUUCUAUUCUUCAUAAUCGCCAGGUAUGCCAGACAGUUCCUUCUCUAGUGGCC
rnacentral:lncRNA from 1 species